rnacentral:tRNA from 1 species
GGGCCCGUAGCUCAGUUGGUAGAGCGGCUGACUCAUAAUCAGCGGGUCGGAGGUUCGAGUCCUCCCGGGCCCA